rnacentral:rRNA from 1 species
ACAAGUAGCCAUAUCACCCCGCACCUCUCAACUGGCUACUCACUGAAGCAAAGCAGGGUUGAGCCUGGUCACUACCUCGAUGGGAGACCUCCUGGGAAACUAUGGUUGCUGCUAUAA